AGUGAACGCUGGCGGUAGGCCUAACACAUGCAAGUCGAACGGCAGCACAGAGGAGCUUGCUCCUUGGGUGGCGAGUGGCGGACGGGUGAGGAAUACAUCGGAAUCUACUCUGUCGUGGGGGAUAACGUAGGGAAACUUACGCUAAUACCGCAUACGACCUACGGGUGAAAGCAGGGGACCUUCGGGCCUUGCGCGAUUGAAUGAGCCGAUGUCGGAUUAGCUAGUUGGCGGGGUAAAGGCCCACCAAGGCGACGAUCCGUAGCUGGUCUGAGAGGAUGAUCAGCCACACUGGAACUGAGACACGGUCCAGACUCCUACGGGAGGCAGCAGUGGGGAAUAUUGGACAAUGGGCGCAAGCCUGAUCCAGCCAUACCGCGUGGGUGAAGAAGGCCUUCGGGUUGUAAAGCCCUUUUGUUGGGAAAGAAAUCCAGCUGGCUAAUACCCGGUUGGGAUGACGGUACCCAAAGAAUAAGCACCGGCUAACUUCGUGCCAGCCGCCGCCGUAACAC
rnacentral:rRNA from 1 species